UACGGAGGGCGCAAGCGUUAUCCGGAAUUAUUGGGCGUAAAGAGCUCGUAGGCGGUUUGUCGCGUCUGCCGUGAAAGUCCGGGGCUCAACUCCGGAUCUGCGGUGGGUACGGGCAGACUAGAGUGAUGUAGGGGAGACUGGAAUUCCUGGUGUAGUGGUGAAAUGCGCAGAUAUCAGGAGGAACACCGAUGGCGAAGGCAGGUCUCUGGGCAUUAACUGACGCUGAGGAGCGAAAGCAUGGGGAGCGAACAGG
rnacentral:rRNA from 1 species